rnacentral:tRNA from 1 species
GAACUUGUCCCUGAUGAAAGGAAUCCUAGCUGAUAAUUAGGUUGUAGGGGGUUAGAGUCCUCCCAAGUUUU